rnacentral:ncRNA from 1 species
UCCCCUCUCAGAACGGGGCAAUGUUCUGAAACCUCCCUGUUGGACUGGCCCGGCCCCGCGCCGGGCCUUUUUU